UACAGAGGGUGCGAGCGUUAAUCGGAAUUACUGGCGUACAGCGCGCGCAGGCGGUUGCUGACGUGCCGUGUGACAAGCGGGGGCUCAACCCCCGAGGGCCACGGUAAACGGGGCGACUGGAGGUAGGGAGAGGGAUGUGGAAUGCCCGGUGGAGCGGUGAAAUGCGUAGAUAUCAGGAGGAAUACGAUGGCGAAGGCAGGUCUCUGGGCUGACACUGACGCUCAUG
rnacentral:rRNA from 1 species